ACUCGAGGUGUGAAUGCUAUCAGAUUUACCCCCGAUGGUCGUUGGGUUGUAUCUGGUGGUGAGGACAAUCUUGUGAAGGUAUGGGAUUUGACUGCUGGAAAGCUGUUGCAUGAUUUCAAGAGUCAUGAAGGCCAGAUUCAGUGCAUAGAUUUUCAUCCUCAUGAAUUCCUGCUUGCAACAGGUUCAGCUGAUAGGACUGUAAAAUAUUGGGACCUUGAAACAUUUGAGCUCAUUGGUACAGCCGGUCCUGAGACCACCGGAGUCCGUUGUUUGACCUUUAAUCCUGAUGGGAGAACACUUCUUUGUGGAUUGCACGAGAGUCUAAAGGUUUUCUCAUGGGAGCCAAUAAGAUGCCAUGACGCAGUUGAUGUGGGAUGGUCUAGAUUGUCAGAUCUUAAUGUUCAUGAAGGAAAGCUGCUUGGUUGCUCAUUUAAUCACAAUUGUGUAUGAGUAUGGGUUGUAGAUAUCUCGCGCAUAGAGCCAUAUGCAGUUGGUAGUAAUACCCAGUUCACUGGUCAUACUGAAUCCAAGUCUGGAUCAAGUGGAAACCCACCAGUCUUGAGAGAAAACAAUUCAGAGACUAGUUUGGGGAAGGUGAUCUACUU